CACAAAUAGAUUUUCGACUCGAAGCACACAAGCAUCUACCGCGACCAUAGUAACAAGUUCACAAGAUUUAAAAGAAUAGUGAGACAAUUCGUGAGAAAAGUUAUUAUUUAACAACGAAUUUAGUACCCACUUAAAAUUGUUUUUGACUAGUUUCCUGUCAGUUGUACAGAGGUAGAAAAAGGUUCAGAGCUUGACUAAAGGGGCGCAAACGUGAGGGUUGGUGGAAGCGCACGUUUUCUACGCACGUCGACCCUUCUUGAAUCCAGCGUCCUUCGCCAGGCAAUCGACGCCUCCAAGUUUACUACCGUCUUGUCAGUUGAGAAAAAAACAACGCACACAACCUGCGCCUCGCCACGCAUCGCCGGUACAGCGACCCGAAGAACCGGCUCGCAUCUUCAUUGGGGCAAGUGCAAGUGCAGUCGCAACUGCAUUGUGCAUCGAUUUUAUUCCGUCAUAACCUUCGCACGCCGAUUGUGCAACGCGUUCCCGGAUUAGCGUCGGUGUGUUGCAUCUGGAAGCUGGGCGGCAGCAUGCGGCCGGUUGCGGGCCUAGCCGACACCGUGCGCGAGCAGUGCGUCAACUUCCUCAAGAACUGCCUCUUCGGCAUCAUCAUUGCGGCGAUGAUUGCGCACUACAUGUUCGAGAAUCUCACCCUCGACAUGACCUACGCCAAGUUUGCGAUUUUCUAAACAAGAAAGACAAUGCUUCGAACAAAUAUUUAUUUAUUGCCGCUCGAUUAAAUUUCUGCAACCUGCGAAAACCAAAGUGUUAGUAUUAUAAAGAAAACAAACAAACACACGUCCAAAACUGAAACCAACAAGUGAAUUGCUGUGAUAACACCACAUUUUUUUGUGUAAUCAUACAGUAAGUUAUUUUAUGUUAAAAUAAAUGCUUUAGUAAUGUG